AUUGAACGCUGGCGGAAUGCUUUACACAUGCAAGUCGAACGGUAGAGGGGGCAACCCCUUGAGAGUGGCGAACGGGUGAGUAAUAUAUCGGAACGUGCCCAGUCGUGGGGAUAACGUAGCGAAAGCUACGCUAAUACCGCAUACGAUCUAUGGAUGAAAGCGGGGGAUCGCAAGACCUCGCGCGAUUGGAGCGGCCGAUAUCAGAUUAGGUAGUUGGUGAGGUAAAGGCUCACCAAGCCGACGAUCUGUAGCUGGUCUGAGAGGACGACCAGCCACACUGGGACUGAGACACGGCCCAGACUCCUACGGGAGGCAGCAGUGGGGAAUUUUUGGGACAAUGGGCGCAAGCCUGAUCCAGCAAUGCCGCGUGCAGGAUGAAGGCCUU
rnacentral:rRNA from 1 species